rnacentral:rRNA from 1 species
UACGGGGGGAGCAAGCGUUGUUCGGAUUUACUGGGCGUAAAGGGCGCGUAGGCGGCGUGGUAAGUCACUUGUGAAAUCUCCGGGCUUAACUCGGAACGGUCAGCUGAUACUGCGGGGCUAGAGUGCAGAAGGGGCAACUGGAAUUCUCGGUGUAGCGGUGAAAUGCGUAGAUAUCGAGAGGAACACCUGCGGCGAAGGCGGGUUGCUGGGCUGACACUGACGCUGACAGCGCGAAAGCUAGGGGAGCGAACGGG